rnacentral:misc_RNA from 1 species
GAUGGUUUCAGAUUUUUUCUAUCCCAACUUAGGUGGCGUGGAAAACCGAUUCUAUUACCUAUCACAAUGUCUAUUAAAGCUUGGUCACAAGGUUAGAGGUUGUCAGUCAGUUUGUAAAUUUGUCAACUUUGUCUUCUAGCUUGCUGUGUUAUUACUUAUUAGGCAUUGGUAGAAUGCAGGGACCGAGGAAGAAGAUUUUGGGAAAUGCAUAUAUUUGGUUGAGAAAUGAAUUAAUGGGGAAUAAGUUGGACAUAAAUUAUUUUAAAUAUUUUUCCUUUUGUUUGGUAAGACAUAGAGUAAUUUAUUUCCUAAAAAGUUCUUACCAACCUUACUUUCUCUCUUUUUUGCUUUUUUCCCCCAAAACAAGUAGAACUUCAUUAACAAUUGCCCACUCUUAUUUGUCUUUAUUCCUUUGUUCAACUUUCUUUUCUGGUUUUUCUUAUCAUUUUGCUUCCAGUGUAUUGGUUGUUGAGCCUUGUAUCUGCCUGAAAGUAGCAUCAAUUUUAAUUUCCUUGUUGGUUUUUAGAUAUUGCUGAUUUCAUAAAUUAUUUAAUAUGUAAGUUUUCAAGUG